rnacentral:rRNA from 1 species
AGAAGUUAAUGUAUAUAAAUUUUAUAAAAUUAUUUAAUGAGUUUGAUCCUGGCUCAGAAUGAACGCUAGUGGUUUGUUUUAAGACAUGCAAGUCAAACAAGUAUCAUAUUUUGUAACUUGUGGCGAACGGGUGCUUAAUAUAUAAGAAUUUACCCAAUUGUUUAGGUAAAUCCUAAAUAAUAUUACAUAAAGAUUAAUUGCAAUUGGAUAGGCUUAUAUAGGAUUAGGUUGUUGGUGGUAAAAAGACUACCAAGCCGAUGAUCCUUAGCUGGUCUUAGAGGAUGGUCAGCCACAUUGGGACUGAGACAAGGCCCAAACUCCAUAAGGAGGCAGCAGUCGAGAAUAUUAGGCAAUGAGCGAAAGCUUGACCUAGCAAAACCACGUGUGUGAUGAAGGCCUUUUGGUUGUAAAGCACUUUUGUUAGAGAUAAUAAUGAUAGUAUCUAAAAAAAAAGUCCUGGCAAAUUCCGUGCCAGCAGCCGCGGUAAUACGGAUAGGGCUAGCGUUAUUCGGAAUCACUGGGUGUAAAGGGUGCGUAGAUGGGUUGAAAUCACUAUAACAGAAAAAAUAGUGCCUAACACUGUUAAAAUGUUUUAGUAUUUUCUACCUAGAGUUUAAAGGACGGUUAUAGAAUUUUGGGUGUAACAAUAAAAUGUUUAAAUAUCUAAAGGAAUCCCAUCUGUGAAGACGUUAAUCGAAUUUAUAACUGACAUUGAGGCACGAAAGUGUGGGGAGCAAAAAGGAUUAGAGACCCUUGUAGUCCACACCCUAAACGAUGAAUGUUAAGUCCUGGUCCAAAUAGUAUAGAUCAGGGGAUUAAAGCUAACGUAUUAAACAUUCCACCUGGGAAGUACUAUCGCAAGGUAGAAACUCAAAGGAAUUGACGGGAACUUGCACAAGCGGUGGAGCAUGUAGCUUAAUUCGAUGUUACACGAAAAAUCUUACCAAUUCUUGUCAUUUUAAUAAAAUCAUUAAUUAUAAUGAUUUUAUAUAUUUAAACAGGUGCUGCAUGGCUGUCGUCAGCUCGUGCUGUGAAGUGUCUGGUUCAUUCCAAUAAACGAGCGUAACUCUCAUAACUUACAUUUAGAAUAAAAAAAUUUGUAAGUUAAACUAUUAACGAUAUGUUAAAGGAAGCGAGAAUGACGUCAAGUCCUCAUGGCCCUUAUGAAUUGGGCUGCAUACGUGCUACAAUGGUUUAAUACAAAAAUAUUUUUAUUAUGUAAUUAGUGAAAAUUUUUCAAAAUAAACCUUAGUUCGGAUUAUUCUAUGUAAUUAGAGAAUAUGAAGUUGGAAUCGCUAGUAAUCGCAGAAAAGAAUGCUGCGGUGAAUAAGUACCCAAGUUCUGUACACACUGCCCGUCACGCUAUGGGAAUUAAUCCUGUUGGAAAAGAAGCAUAUAUUUAUAAUUUAUCUUUAUUAGUAUACUGUUAAAAUAAUGUUUUAAUAAAGAUAAAUUAUAAGUUAUGAUCUUGAUAACAAGAUUGAGGACUGGAGUGAAGUCGUAACAAGGUAGCUGUAGGGGAACCUGUGGCUGAAGUGUUUUAAUUUUUUUAUAAUUCUU